CCUACGGGUGGCAGCAGUCAGGAAUAUUGGUCAAUGGACGAGAGUCUGAACCAGCCAAGUAGCGUGAAGGAUGACUGCCCUAUGGGUUGUACACUUCUUUUAUAUGGGAAUAAAAUGUUCCACGUGUGGGAUUUUGUCUGUACCAUAUGAAUAAGGAUCGUCUACCUCCGUGCCAGCAGCAGCGUUAAUCCGGAGGCUUCGCGCGUUAUCCGGUUUUAUUGGGUUUAAAGGUCGCGUAGGUGGAUUGUUAAGUCGGGUGUGAAUGUUUGGGGCUCAACCGGAAAAUUGCAGAUGAAACUGGAAGUCUUGAGGACAGGAGAGGGGGGCGGAAUUUGUGGGGUAGCGGUGAAAUGCGUAGAUA
rnacentral:rRNA from 1 species